UAAGGAAUUUUGGACAAUGGGCGCAAGCCUGAUCCAGCAAUGCCGCGUGCAGGAUGAAGGCCUUCGGGUUGUAAACUGCUUUUGUACGGAACGAAAAGUCUCUUUCUAAUAAAGAGGGAUCAUGACGGUACCGUAAGAAUAAGCACCGGCUAACUACGUGCCAGCAGCCGCGGUAAUACGUAGGGUGCAAGCGUUAAUCGGAAUUACUGGGCGUAAAGCGUGCGCAGGCGGUUAUGCAAGACAGAUGUGAAAUCCCCGGGCUCAACCUGGGAACUGCAUUUGUGACUGCAUAGCUGGAGUGCGGCAGAGGGGGAUGGAAUUCCGCGUGUAGCAGUGAAAUGCGUAGAUAUGCGGAGGAACACCGAUGGCGAAGGCAAUCCCCUGGGCCUGCACUGACGCUCAUGCACGAAAGCGUGGGGAGCAAACA
rnacentral:rRNA from 1 species